AGUGAACGCUGGCGGUAGGCCUAACACAUGCAAGUCGAACGGCAGCAUAGUAAGAGCUUGCUCUUACGGGUGGCGAGUGGCGGACGGGUGAGGAAUACAUCGGAAUCUACUUUUUCGUGGGGGAUAAUGUAGGGAAACUUACGCUAAUACCGCAUACGACCUACGGGUGAAAGCAGGGGAUCUUCGGACCUUGCGCGAUUGAAUGAGCCGAUGUCGGAUUAGCUAGUUGGCGGGGUAAAGGCCCACCAAGGCGACGAUCCGUAGCUGGUCUGAGAGGAUGAUCAGCCACACUGGAACUGAGACACGGUCCAGACUCCUACGGGAGGCGGCAGUGGGGAAUAUUGGACAAUGGGCGCAAGCCUGAUCCAGCCAUACCGCGUGGGUGAAGAAGGCCUUCGGGUUGUAAAGCCCUUUUGUUGGGAAAGAAAAGCAGCAGGUUAAUACCCCGCUGUUCUGACGGUACCCAAAGAAUAAGCACCGGCUAACUUCGUG
rnacentral:rRNA from 1 species